GACUGCCGCAGUCAGAGUCCUACCGCCUUCUGAGCUCUGACGCUUUCCUGUCUGUGCUCCCUGCUAAUCAACUCACCAGCAUGAAGGUCUUGGCGCUGCUGUUACUGGUGGCAGUUUCCACCUUCCUGGUCUCGGGCGAGAAUACAACAGAUGCUUCCUCUGAUAGCUCUACUGCUGCCUCUGAUGCCACCAAUGCCGGUGCCACCACUGCUGCAACCACCACUGCCACCCGUACUCCAUUUAACCUUUUAAAGAACCUCAUCGAAUACCUCAAGCGCUUAAGGGGUUGAAAUAUUACUAAGAUGGAAUUAGCCUGGGACUUCUGCAUUUGAUCCUGCUGGACUCAACCACAAUGUCCAUUGAUUUGAUUUAAUUCAACUACUUACCACAU